rnacentral:rRNA from 1 species
CAUGGCUCAGGACGAACGCUGGCGGCGUGCUUAACACAUGCAAGUCGAACGGAGCGAAUGAAAGCUUGCUUUUAUGAGCUUAGUGGCAAACGGGUGAGUAACACGUAGGCAACCUGCCGACAGGAUGGGGACAACAUUCCGAAAGGAAUGCUAAUACCGAAUGAAGCGGAGGAGAGGCAUCUCCCCUCCGUGAAAGAUGGCCUCUUUUUAUGCUAUCACCUGUCGAUGGGCCUGCGUCUGAUUAGCUGGUAGGUGAGGUAACGGCUCACCUAGGCGACGAUCAGUAGCCGGUCUGAGAGGAUGAACGGCCACAUUGGGACUGAGACACGGCCCAGACUCCUACGG